AGGCAGCAGUGGGGAAUAUUGCGCGAUGGGCGGAAGCCUGACGCAGCGACGCCGCGUGAGGGAUGACGGCCUUCGGGUUGUAAACCUCUUUCAGCUCUGACGAAGCGAGAGUGACGGUAGGAGCAGAAGAAGCACCGGCCAACUACGUGCCAGCAGCCGCGGUAAUACGUAGGGUGCAAGCGUUGUCCGGAAUUAUUGGGCGUAAAGAGCUCGUAGGCGGUCUGUCGCGUCGAAUGUGAAAACCCGGGGCUCAACCCCGGGCCUGCAUUCGAUACGGGCAGACUAGAGUUCGGUAGGGGAGUCUGGAAUUCCUGGUGUAGCGGUGAAAUGCGCAGAUAUCAGGAGGAACAUCGGUGGCGAAGGCGGGACUCUGGGCCGAUACUGACGCUGAGGAGCGAAAGCGUGGGGAGCAAACAGGAUUAGAUACCCUGGUAG
rnacentral:rRNA from 1 species